UACAGAGGUCCCGAGCGUUGUUCGGAUUCACUGGGCGUAAAGGGUGCGUAGGUGGUGAGGUAAGUCGGAUGUGAAAUCUCCAAGCUCAACUUGGAAAUGGCAUUGGAAACUACCUUGCUGGAGGUUUGGAGGGGGGACUGGAAUUCUCGGUGUAGCAGUGAAAUGCGUAGAUAUCGAGAGGAACACCAGUGGCGAAGGCGGGUCUCUGGGCAGUAACUGACGCUGAGGAGCGAAAGCGUGGGGAGCGAACAGG
rnacentral:rRNA from 1 species